UACAGGGGGGGGCAAGCGUUGUUCGGAAUUACUGGGCGUAAAGGGCCAGUAGGCGGCCAACUAAGUCCGACGUGAAAUCCCCAGCUUAACCUGGGAACUGCGUCGGAUACUGGAUGGCUUGAAUUCGGGAGAGGGAUGCAGAAUUCCAGGUGUAGCGGUGAAAUGCGUAGAUAUCUGGAGGAAUACCGGUGGCGAAGGCGGCAUCCUGGACCGAGAUUGACGCUGAACGGCGAAAGCUAGGGGAGCAAACGGG
rnacentral:rRNA from 1 species